rnacentral:tRNA from 1 species
GCUUGAUUAGUGUAGCGGUUAUCACUUCGGAUUCUAACACCAGAAUCUCCUACAGCUUCCGACAACCCUGGUUCCAUUCCAGGAUCGAGCU